rnacentral:rRNA from 1 species
GGCCUUGACAUACUAAGAACUUUCCAGAGAUGGAUUGGUGGCCUUCGGGAACUUAGAUACAGGUGCUGCAUGGCUGUCGUCAGCUCGUGUCGUGAGAUGUUGGGUUAAGUCCCGNAACGAGCGCAACCCUUUUCCUUAUUUGCCAGCGGGUCAUGCCGGGAACUUUAAGGAUACUGCCAGUGACAAACUGGAGGAAGGCGGGGACGACGUCAAGUCAUCAUGGCCCUUACGGCCAGGGCUACACACGUGCUACAAUGGUCGGUACAAAGGGUUGCUACCUCGCGAGAGGAUGCUAAUCUCAAAAAAGCCGAUCGUAGUCCGGAUCGCAGUCUGCAACUCGACUGCGUGAAGUCGGAAUCGCUAGUAAUCGCGGAUCAGAAUGCCGCGGUGAAUACGUUCCCGGGCCUUGUACACACCGCCCGUCACACCAUGGGAGUUUGUUGCACCAGAAGUAGGUAGUCUAACCGCAAGGAGGACGCUUACCACGGUGUGGCCGAUGACUGGGGUGAAGUCGUAACAAGGUAGGCGUAGAUGA